GUCCGUCAGCUGCAGUUGUCAGUAGAUGAUGUUGGGGUUAACGUCCCCAGCAAANCAGAGCAGCAAACACCAUUGUCAUUGAGUGUCCAGCGGAGGAAGGUGGGGAUGACGUCAAGUCAUCAUGGCCUUUACGUCCAGGGCUACACACGUGCUACAAUGGGAUGUACAAAGGGUNGCGAACUCGCCAAGAGUGAAGCCAAUCUCAUAAAACAUUUCCUAGUUCGGAUUGAUCUGCAACUCGACUCCAUGAAGUCUGAAUCGUANAAUCACGAUCAGAUGCACG
rnacentral:rRNA from 1 species